GCUGGCAUAGCUCAGCUGGUAGAGCAACUGACUUGUAAUCAGUAGGUCGUGGGUUCGAUGCCUACUGCCAGCACCA
rnacentral:tRNA from 1 species